GGGCUUAUGAUGAAAAUUCAAAUUAUCUUAGCGGAUUUCAGUGAGAUAAUUUUUAUCAAUGAUCUGAUUGUUACACACACUGAAGCCU